ensembl:lncRNA MEF2C-AS1 MEF2C antisense RNA 1
GAGGAAGAGAAGGAGGAGGAGGAGGAGGAGGAGAAAGUGGCUCUCAGCGGCCGGUCGGAUUAAAAGUAACCAGACUCGUCCAGAAAACUGCGUCCAGGAAGGAAGUGACAGAAGACGAAUGGGAAAAGGAGAACAGCUCACAGCGUUUGAAACAUCGCGGCACCACUUUCAGAUAAAAACAUAGACCUGAAUGGCAUCAUCCAGUAUCCAAGGAAACCAUGCUUGCUUGAAGAGUGAGCAGGUGAGCAAAGAGACAAGAUUACAUGUUUAAACCAAGAAAAGAAUCUUGAAAAAGCAUUGAAAAGAACAACUUUCAAGUCAAAAGAAUCAAGGUGAAGAGAAUGGAUACUCAUGCCCAUGUGAAUUUGCUGCCCCAAGUCUACUGGAGGAUCAAGCUGCAGGUUUCAAUAGCUAUAGCCUGAAGAAUCUCUGUAAUGAACUAAAACAAUCAGUAAAAGAUCAGUUGCAGUGGAAGACAUUAUACUCUAGAUUUUUCUAGUAUUAUUAAAUUUGAAAAUGAUUUAUUCCAAAUUUUAACUUAGCUUUUAAUUUUACUAGUGUCAAAAUGUUGUACUACUUUGGACAACUGAUUUUUCCAAUAGAGAGUCAAUAGCAUCUUUGCAGGGUGGUUUAAAAGCCAAUAAUUUAAUCCAUAUUCUACUAAAACUUUUAAUAUAAGCAUUUUACCCAGAUGUAUUUUUUCCUUGUUUUAGAAAAUCUGAUUUUAAUUGCUAAAACUCGUUUUUAAAUAUUAAUUCAAUGAAAGAAAUGCUAUGGUUUUCUACUUUUUCAUUUCUUAAACUCAAGGGAAAACAUGGGUGAAAAACA